rnacentral:rRNA from 1 species
AUUGAACGCUGGCGGCAUGCCUUACACAUGCAAGUCGAACGGUAACAGGUCUUCGGAUGCUGACGAGUGGCGAACGGGUGAGUAAUACAUCGGAACGUGCCCGAUCGUGGGGGAUAACGAAGCGAAAGCUUUGCUAAUACCGCAUACGAUCUACGGAUGAAAGCAGGGGACCGCAAGGCCUUGCGCGAACGGAGCGGCCGAUGGCAGAUUAGGUAGUUGGUGGGAUAAAAGCUUACCAAGCCGACGAUCUGUAGCUGGUCUGAGAGGACGACCAGCCACACUGGGACUGAGACACGGCCCAGAGUCCUACGGGAGGCAGCAGUGGGGAAUUUUGGACAAUGGGCGAAAGCCUGAUCCAGCCAUGCCGCGCGCAGGAUGAAGGCCUUCGGGUUGUAAACUGCUUUUGUACGGAACGAAAAGACUCUGGUUAAUACCUGGGGUCCAUGACGGUACCGUAAGAAUAAGCACCGGCUAACUACGUGCCAGCCGCCGCCGUAAUAC